CCUACGGGAGGCAGCAGUGAGGAAUAUUGGUCAAUGGGCGGGAGCCUGAACCAGCCAAGUCGCGUGAGGGAAGACGGUCCUAUGGAUUGUAAACCUCUUUAGGCGGGGAGCAAUGCCGGGCACGCGUGCCCGGAGGGAGAGUACCCGCAGAAUAAGCAUCGGCUAACUCCGUGCCAGCAGCCGCGGUAAUACGGAGGAUGCGAGCGUUAUCCGGAUUUAUUGGGUUUAAAGGGUGCGUAGGCGGAUUUUUAAGUCAGCGGUAAAAUGUCCGGGCUUAACCUGGGAAAGCCAUACAUGACUGCAAGACUAGAGUGCGUCAGAGGGGGGUGGAAUUCCAAGUGUAGCAGUGAAAUGCGUAGAUAUUUGGAAGAACACCGAUGGCGAAGGCAGCCCCCUGGGACGCAACUGACGCUCAUACACGAAAGCGUGGGGAGCAAACAGGAUUAGAGACCCGGGUAGUC
rnacentral:rRNA from 1 species